GGCGAGUGAGCGGUAAAAGCUCAAAUUUGAAAUCUGGUACUUUCAGUGCCCGAGUUGUAAUUUGUAGAAUUUGUCUUUGAUUAGGUCCUUGUCUAUGUUCCUUGGAACAGGACGUCAUAGAGGGUGAGAAUCCCGUUUGGCGAGGAUACCUUUUCUCUGUAAGACUUUUUCGAAGAGUCGAGUUGUUUGGGAAUGCAGCUCAAAGUGGGUGGUAAAUUCCAUCUAAAGCUAAAUAUUGGCGAGAGACCGAUAGCGAACAAGUACAGUGAUGGAAAGAUGAAAAGAACUUUGAAAAGAGAGUGAAAAAGUACGUGAAAUUGUUGAAAGGGAAGGGCAUUUGAUCAGACAUGGUGUUUUUUGCAUGCACUCGCCUCUCGUGGGCUUGGGCCUCUCAAAAAUUUCACUGGGCCAACAUCAAUUCUGGCAGCAGGAUAAAUCAUUAAGAAUGUAGCUACUUCGGUAGUGUUAUAGCUUUUUGGAAUACUGUUAGCCGGGAUUGAGGACUGCGCUUCGGCAAGGAUGUUGGCAUAAUGGUUAAAUGCCGCCCGUCUUGAAACACGGACC
rnacentral:rRNA from 1 species